AGGUGGCUCAGUGGUUAAGAGCACUGGCUACUCCUCCAGAGGACCCAGGUUCAAGUCCCGGCACCUA
rnacentral:tRNA from 1 species